UCCCUGGAGGACUAGUGGUUAGGCCUCGGCGCUCUCACCACCGUAGCCUGGGCUCGAUUCCCGGCCAGGGAA